UACAGAGGUGGCAAGCGUUGUUCGGAAUUACUGGGCGUAAAGCGUGCGCAGGCGGUUCGUUAAGUCAGAUGUGAAAGCCCCGGGCUCAACCUGGGAACUGCAUUUGAAACUGGCGGGCUUGAGUGUGGCAGAGGGGGGUGGAAUUCCGCGUGUAGCAGUGAAAUGCGUAGAGAUGCGGAGGAACACCGAUGGCGAAGGCAGCCCCCUGGGCCAACACUGACGCUCAGGCACGAAAGCGUGGGGAGCAAACAGG
rnacentral:rRNA from 1 species